rnacentral:lncRNA from 1 species
ACAACCUGAGGCCCAGCCUGGUUAGUACUCAGACUUCCUGAGGCCCCUCCUCCUCAAGAUCUUGCCUCCCCAGGGCCUCAACUCAAUCAGGGCCUCUCUAAGCUCCACUCCAAGCCUGAUUCUGGUUGGCCAAGCUCCUUCCCUGUCCAUGGGUUUGUCUUGCUCUUUCAUCCCAAGUGUUUCUCCUCGGAGGCAGAAAAAGCCCCUGGCACAUCCUCCAAGUAAUCACCUCCUUUGGAAGAGACUAUUUUCUGAUUACACUGAGAUUCACAGACCCAGGAAAUGUCCUCAGGAAAUGCACUUGGACAGAUGAUGGUACAUGUUUUACUCUCCUGUUUAUACCUCAGUUUGACUGUUUCUUUCCAAAAUAACAACAAAAACAAAAUCUUCUAGGAAUCUCAAGAUAACAAUAGUCAAUCAAUAUUUUCAUACAUUCAUUUUCUCUGCCCUAAAUUCCUCUUAUGGUUGCUUAGCAUAACCUUGUCCUGGGGAGUGAGAAUUGGGCACAAGAAUGUAUAAUUUAGAAGUAGGAAGAUGUAUAUGGACCCUGGCCCAGCCUUCUGGAUGCUUUAGACUAUAAAAGAAUUUAAGGACAUAUCUAGAACACCAGCUGACAUGACAGAAAGAGAAAAUUAGUUUUAGCUGAGCAUCAGGAUGGACAAUAAGCGCUGGUGAAAAGGGGAAGAAGGUUAGAAAUAAUGGCUUACAGAUGGCUUUCUAGAUAUUGGGGAAAGCUUUUAGAAUAAUGUUAAGAAGAUAUAUCAUUCCAAGAAUGGACAGAAGGAAUGAGGAGAGUAACCCUACCAGGGCAAAUACAUACCCAGGCCACAGGCUCAUCCCAGGAAGGGUAAGUCAGGAUGUGAGAGCUGAAUUAGGAAGGAGGUGAUGGGCCUCAUGGUCGGGGAAGAAUUAGAGUAGGGCUCUGACUAGCUGAUUCGGAGAUCUGGCCUGAAUAUAAAC